GGUCGGGCAGUGUAUGAUUGUGGUUGGAAUGAGGUCUUUGAUUAUUCCGUAUGUAGUCCUUCUAUGGACAGAUAUAUUCCCUACCGAUAUACAUGAUUGCUGGAUGUUAUUCAUAUACAGAACUAGUGACUUAGUCUAGAGUACCUUAAAUCCAGAUAACAUGAAAUCCGUCAUGUUUAUUUCCCCAGUAAUACCACACUGCUGCUCUCUGUGGGAAUCAUAGGAGUGCUUCUGCUGAUGCUGCUGUUACUCGCUGUUAUCAUGAUUCUGUGCAGAAGAUCCGCAAUGGCACAGGCCAGGAACACAGAAAACACGGCUGCCCUCACUCCCACUGUAAAACCCGGGGAUGAAGUGACAUACAUCUCAGUAACAGCAAAAGCCAGAAAUACAGCACGUUCAUCUACUCAGGUUGUGCCAUUAGACAACAUGGUAAGAACCUGGCAAACUGAACAUAAACUGAGCCCCAUCCAUCCAUCCAUCCAUCCAUCCAUCAUGAACCAUUAUCUCUAAAUAAUUUCCUUGAGUUGCAUAUUAUUGAUUGUGGCAUAAAUGAAAAUCCAUGCAUUUAAUUUGGGUUUCUGCAGCUUGAAACAGUGCUGCCACAGUCUUGAAGACAAUGCAGCCUAGUAACAGUGUGUCCUCCCUUAGGCUGGUUUACACUCAAUGCUUGUCAUGCAUAUAUUUACCUGACCUGUCAUUCCUAAGUGGUGUUGCUGCUCAUACUUCCCCGUAUAGUAUACGUCAGUUAUAUAUACUGUUACACCAGGGGUCUCCAACUCCGGUCCUGGAGAGCUACUAUCCAGUGGGUUUUCUAU